rnacentral:ncRNA from 1 species
AUAAACAGAAGAGGCGCGAUGCUUAGGUAGUUAGUGUGAGGUGACGAGACCAAUGAUCACUAGUGAGGGAAGUAUUCGCCGAGGAGAAAAGUUGCUCGUCGCAACGAUUCUUCGGUUUACGAGGCUGAAUCCUCGGAACUGUCACCGUAUUGGUGGAGAGCUUCUGGCAAA